UWGAGYUUGAUCMUGGCUCAGAUUGAACGCUGGCGGCAGGCCUAACACAUGCAAGUCGAGCGGAAACGAUGGAAGCUUGCUUCCAGGCGUCGAGCGGCGGACGGGUGAGUAAUGCAUGGGAAUCUGCCCGAUAGUGGGGGAUAACCUGGGGAAACCCAGGCUAAUACCGCAUACGUCCUACGGGAGAAAGCAGGGGAUCUUCGGACCUUGCGCUAUCGGAUGAGCCCAUGUCGGAUUAGCUUGUUGGUGAGGUAAUGGCUCACCAAGGCGACGAUCCGUAGCUGGUCUGAGAGGAUGAUCAGCCACAUCGGGACUGAGACACGGCCCGAACUCCUACGGGAGGCAGCAGUGGGGAAUAUUGGACAAUGGGCGAAAGCCUGAUCCAGCCAUCC
rnacentral:rRNA from 1 species